rnacentral:rRNA from 1 species
UACGUAGGGUGCGAGCGUUGUCCGGAAUUAUUGGGCGUAAAGGGCUCGUAGGCGGUCUGUCGCGUCGAAAGUGAAAACCCAGGGCUUAACCCUGGGCCUGCUUCCGAUACGGGCAGACUAGAGGUAUGCAGGGGAGAACGGAAUUCCUGGUGUAGCGGUGAAAUGCGUAGAGAUCAGGAGGAACACCCAUGGCGAAGGCAGCUCUCUGGUCGACAUCUGACGCUGAGACGCGAAAGCGUGGGGAGCGAACGGG